CGCUGGCGGCAGGCCUAACACAUGCAAGUCGAGCGGUAGAGAGAAGCUUGCUUCUCUUGAGAGCGGCGGACGGGUGAGUAAUGCCUAGGAAUCUGCCUGGUAGUGGGGGAUAACGUUCGGAAACGGACGCUAAUACCGCACACGUCCUACGGGAGAAAGCAGGGGACCUUCGGGCCUUGCGCUAUCAGAUGAGCCUAGGUCGGAUUAGCUAGUUGGUGAGGUAAUGGCUCACCAAGGCGACGAUCCGUAACUGGUCUGAGAGGAUGAUCAGUCACACUGGAACUGAGACACGGUCCAGACUCCUACGGGAGGCAGCAGUGGGGAAUAUUGGACAAUGGGCGAAAGCCUGAUCCAGCCAUGCCGCGUGUGUGAAGAAGGUCUUCGGAUUGUAAAGCACUUUAAGUUGGGAGGAAGGGUUGUAGAUUAAUACUCUGCAAUUUUGACGUUACCGACAGAAUAAGCACCGGCUAACUCUGUGCCAGCAGCCGCGGUAAUACAGAGGGUGCAAGCGUUAAUCGGAAUUACUGGGCGUAAAGCGCGCGUAGGUGGUUUGUUAAGUUGGAUGUGAAAUCCCCGGGCUCAACCUGGGAACUGCAUUCAAAACUGACUGACUAGAGUAUGGUAGAGGGUGGUGGAAUUUCCUGUGUAGCGGUGAAAUGCGUAGAUAUAGGAAGGAACACCAGUGGCGAAGGCGACCACCUGGACUAAUACUGACACUGAGGUGCGAAAGCGUGGGGA
rnacentral:rRNA from 1 species